rnacentral:rRNA from 1 species
UUGAACGCUGGCGGCAGGCCUAACACAUGCAAGUCGAACGGUAACAGGAAACAGCUUGCUGUUUCGCUGACGAGUGGCGGACGGGUGAGUAAUGUCUGGGAAACUGCCUGAUGGAGGGUGAUAACUACUGGAAACGGUAGCUAAUACCGCAUAACGUCGCAAGACCAAAGAGGGGGACCUUCGGGCCUCUUGCCAUCAGAUGUGCCCAGAUGGGAUUAGCUAGUAGGUGGGGUAACGGCUCACCUAGGCGACGAUCCCUAGCUGGUCUGAGAGGAUGACCAGCCACACUGGAACUGAGACACGGUCCAGACUCCUACGGGAGGCAGCUGUGGGGAAUAUUGCACAAUGGGCGCAAGCCUGAUGCAGCCAUGCCGCGUGUAUGAAGAAGGCCUUCGGGUUGUAAAGUACUUUCAGCGGGGAGGAAGGGAGUAAAGUUAAUACCUUUGCUCAUUGACGUUACCCGCAGAAGGAGCACCGGCUAACUCCGUG